rnacentral:rRNA from 1 species
CGUAGUGGCAAGCGUUGUCCGGAUUUAUGGGUUAAAGGGUGCGUAGGCGGUCCUAUAAGUCAGCUGUGAAAUACGGCAGCUUAACUGUCGAGGUGCAAUUGAUACUGCAGGACUUGAGUACAGACGAGGUAGGCGGAAUUGACGGUGUAGCGGUGAAAUGCUUAGAUAUCGUCAAGAACACCGAUAGCGAAGGCAGCCUACUAGACUGUAACUGACGCUGAUGCACGAAAGUGUGGGGAUCAAACAGGAUUAGAUACCCUGGUAGUCCACACUGUAAACGAUGAUUACUCGAUGUUGGCGAUACACAGCCAGCGUCUUAGCAAAAGCGAUAAGUAAUCCACCUGGGGAGUACGCCGGCAACGGUG